CGCGCUACUGCUUGAGCCACAUCCCCAGCCCCUCCUUAAAUAUUUUUGAACAAGUUAUUAAAAAAUGAAAUAACUUGUUGAAAAAAUAGAUAUUAAAAUAAAUAAAGCUGCAAGUGGACUGGGGGUGUGGCUCAAGCGGUAGCGCG
rnacentral:miRNA from 1 species